CGAGGAAAUGUGAAGGGUAAUGCUACAAGAUGGCCUGGCUUCUGGUGGGGACUCUGACACAAGCAGAAAUGUGUUUCCUCCAGAGAACACUCUUCUGUGAUAGGGGCAUUUCCUUCAUGCUGGAACACUGAGCUUAAAACAGUUUUAGUAGGAGACUGAAAAAGAGCUCUUCAGGUGAGCACUCAGGUGCUCUUGGCCUUUCUUAGGUGUCACUCCCUGUACCAUCUGCUCCAGGAAGUCACUGCUUCUCAAAAUCAACUGUAUUUAUUCAGGGGAUAAGACAAAUCUGCUGGCGUCUUGUUAAAAGAUGAUCAAGCGGCACCAGCAGCAUGAACUUAGGGUUCCUCUGAAUCCUGGGCUCUUUGUGAUGCGUACACCCCUGGCCUAUGGUACCUGCCCAUCUCCCUGCUUAGCCCAGGCACUUUGUACACAGUGAGGCACACUUUCUUUGGCUGAAGAAGCUUCUUGACACCAUGAAGUAUCAAGUCACAUUCGUUCCCAUUGUUGACUCAAAGAACAAUGGGUCCCGCUGCAAACCUAAGGCCACCAUAAUCAUCGUUGAGCUUGCUUCUCCACCCCAGGGUCUCUAAAUAAAACCUCUUCUUUCUCGG
rnacentral:lncRNA from 1 species